AUGUUUAGUUCUAUGUGACAUUCUAACUAUGAAUUUCAGUGUAGAAAAGAAUACAGGCACUCCGAUUCCACAGAAAAGGCAGUUUAAUUGGAAGCGGGAACAAGAAAGCAACGUUUCGACCCCUUAGGACCUUUGUCAAGCUACUACAGCACAUAAAUCACAUACAAUAUAUAGGUAUAUGUAACAAGUGAUAUAACAGGUGAAGUGACUAUAAUUAAUUAAUAACAUAGUCAAUAAAUAAAAGCAUAAUUGUCUCUCCAAUCAUCUCACAUAAUGGGGAUGUCAAAAAGCACAGGGUACUUCAGCCAAUAAGAUAUAAGUUAAGCAUUUAUUUAAUGUAAUUGUUUAAUUAUAAACAUAUUGUUUCAGAGUGUUUUCAAUACACCCAGACCCAUUAAAUAUAAUUAAAAACACCAAACAAGCCCGGGUACUUAAAUU